GAAAUGCGAUAAGUAAUGUGAAUUGCAGAAUUCAGUGAAUCAUCGAAUCUUUGAACGCACCUUGCGCUCCUUGGUAUUCCUUGGAGCAUGCCUGUUUGAGUAUCAUGAAAUCUUCAAAGUAAAUCUUUUGUUAACUCAAUUGGUUUCUACUUUGGUAUUGGAGGUCUUUGCAGCUUCACACCUGCUCCUCUUUGUUCAUUAGCUGGAUCUCAGUGUUAUGCUUGGUUCCACUCGGCGUGAUAAGUUAUCUAUCGCUGAGGACACUGUAAAAGGUGGCCAAGGUAAAUGCAGAUGAACCGCUUCUAAUAGUCCAUUGACUUGGACAAUACUUUUAUGAUCUGAUCUCAAAUCAGGAAGGACUACCCGCUGAACUUAAGC
rnacentral:misc_RNA from 1 species